CAGAAUUUCAGACCUGCAGGCAAAUGUUUCUGGAGGUUAUGAAGCCUGGAGUAGCCCUUGAGUUCAAACAUGUGGUCUUCAAGUAGUGUCUUUGGCAUGUAGUAUUUUCAUGGAACUGCAUCUUUCAGUAGUGGGACAUUUGAAGUGGUCAAAGACUGGAUUUGAAAACUGGCACCCCUCCAGAGUGUUCACAAUCAAGUAUGAGCUUUGGAUCACCCCUGCUUGGGAUCCCAGGAACAUCUACAGAGUUGCACCUUACCAGCCUUCUUCUCAAUUGUGGACUCAAACAAAUCUGAGUUCCCAGGAUUUCUUCCCUGAAGCCAUAAAGAGAAAGCUGUGUCUUCAGAGCAAGAGAAAAAAACACAGAACAGAUCUUCGGCUCUACUCUUUCCGAAAGUGGCUUGAGCUCUGAGGAUGAAUUCUCAGCUUGCCAGCUGUAAAAUAGAAGCGUGCUUCUUAUCUGCGAGUAUCUUCAGGAUCCAAUGAGUUAACAGAUGAAGCAGAGACCCAGACAACAUUGAGAGGAAAAGCACUGGUUUCUCUAUACAUUUUUCCCUGAGGUAAACUUUCCCCCUCAUUUGAUAAUUCCCUUCCCUUUUCCCCCUAUUAUGGACUGCCAGAAAGAAUGCUAUUUGG
rnacentral:lncRNA from 1 species